rnacentral:rRNA from 1 species
GAUGAACGCUGGCGGCGUGCCUAAUACAUGCAAGUCGAGCGAACGGACGAGAAUCUUGCUUCUCUGAUUUUAGCGGCGGACGGGUGAGUAACACGUGGAUAACCUACCUAUAAGACUGGGAUAACUUCGGGAAACCGGAGCUAAUACCGGAUAAUAUUUUGAACCGCAUGGUUCAUAAGUGAAAGACGGUCUUGCUGUCACUUAUAGAUGUAUCCGCGCUGCAUUAGCUAGUUGGUAAGGUAACGGCUUACCAAGGCAACCAUGCAUAGCCGACCGGAGAGAGAGCUCGACCACACAGGAGCUGAGACACGGUCCAGACUCAUACGGGAGGCAGGAAUAGGGAAUGUUCAGCAAUGGGCGAAAGCCUGACGGAGCCACGCAGCGUGAGUGAUGAAGGUCUGCGGAUCGUAAAACUCUGUUAUUAGGGAAGAAAAUAUGUGUAAGUAACUGUGCACAUCUUGACGGUACCUAAUAAGAAAGCCCCGGCUAACUACGU